UGUUAAGUCAGACGGGGUUUUAAAAAAAAUGAAGCGGGGAAGGAAGCUGUGGGACAACCUUCAAAAGUAAAAGCCCUCGGAAGAUAGAUUAUUCUCAUGGCAGACUUCUCCCGGGUCACCAGCUCUCUCUGGGAAAGCAGCUCCAGAAACCCAUUGCAACGAGCUUCGAAGGACAUCUCCUGCGGAGAUCUGCUUUCUGGAAUUUGUAAAAGAAAAAAAAAACAUUAUAGAAUUAUAAAAUGACAUGAUGAGC